CCUACGGGAGGCAGCAGUGAGGAAUAUUGGUCAAUGGGCGCGAGCCUGAACCAGCCAAGUCGCGUGAAGGAUGACUGCCCUACGGGUUGUAAACUUCUUUUAUAAGGGAAUAAAGUGAGGCACGUGUGCCUUUUUGUAUGUACUUUAUGAAUAAGGAUCGGCUAACUCCGUGCCAGCAGCCGCGGUAAUACGGAGGAUCCGAGCGUUAUCCGGAUUUAUUGGGUUUAAAGGGAGCGUAGAUGGGGUGUUAAGUCAGUUGUGAAAGUUUGCGGCUCAACCGUAAAAUUGCAAUUGAUACUGGCAGUCUUGAGUACAGUUGAGGUAGGUGGAAUUCGUGGUGUAGCGGUGAAAUGCUUAGAUAUUACGAAGAACUCCGAUUGCGAAGGCAGCUUACUAAACUGUAACUGACAUUGAUGCUCGAAAGUGUGGGGAUCAAACAGGAUUAGAUACCCCGGUAGUC
rnacentral:rRNA from 1 species